UUGCAAAAGUCAGCUGCCAGUGUCCUUCCCCAGCAGACGGGAGGGAGGGGGACGGGAAGGGCUUGCCAUGAGGCCGUUCGGCGGUCGGCGGAGGGACACGCAUCCUCCGUUAGCAGAGUGGGGAUGGUGUCUGGCCGUGUCCCCUGACAGUGUGCGCUGUGAGCACCGGGGGCUGCUUAAUCGUUUCCUGCCUAUGGUCUGGACAGGCCUGGGAAGGAGGCUGGCCCCGGCUCAAGCUGCAGGCAACUAGCCAGAGGCAGGAUGAGCCGUCUCAAGGAAGAAGAAAU